UGAUCUGGAUUUUUAAGCGGUUAAGUAAAUAUCAUGGGGCAGGCACUGGGGGGCACAAUAUCCCAAAUAGCCGUAUUUGCAUCACAACCCUUGGAUGAGGUGAUUGCCCAACGUCGCCCAUCAUCAUCCCGGCAGGUUAAGUCCAGGAUGCCAUCCCCGUCACAGUCUGCACUCUGCAGGACUGCGGUGUCGUGGAUGCACCACCCGGAUGGCCUGGUGCAUGAAGCUGCGGCAAAAAAAACAGCAACGAUAAUAAUUGAUCAAUGCCAGAAGCAGAUCGGGCAGGUGGCCUAGCUAGGAAAGGCCACAUGAAGGGUGGAGGCCAGACCAGCUGGAAAUGAAAGGCCAGGCAGUGUAACUACGAUUUCUAGACGCAUUGAGCAGGUCGGUGCCACAAAGAGACUCAGGGCUUGCUUGCCAGCAGCCGUAGGAUAACCGUACAUGCAUGCAUGCAUGCAUGCAUGCAUGCAUGCCACCAAUACAUUCGGUGAUUGAGCAUUGCUAUGCGCUUGCAUGCAUGUUUUGUGCGAUUGGGCAUAUGUAUACAGUUGCCAAAUAUGAUGCCUGAGGGGCUUCAGGUAAGGUGUACACACUGCUGCAAUUCACUGCUCCGAAGCAAGUGGGGUUGAACAAUAAUAUGCUAUGAUAAUUCCGAGGGGCAAUGCCGGUUCGAGGGAAUUCCCUCGAACCAUCUCAAUUUCAUCGCAACGGCUGGGUUAUUACUACGUACCUGGAUCUGUGGGUGGCGAGAAUAUCUUGGGGCAGGCACUGGGGGGCACAAUAUCCCAAAUAGCCGCAUUUGCAUCACAGCCCGUGGAUGAGGUGAUCGCCCAACGUCGCCCAUCAUCAUCCCGGCAGGUAACAUCCAGGGCGCCAUCCCCGUCACAGUCUGCACUCUGCAGGACUGAGCUGUUGUGGAUGCACCACCCGGAUGGCCUGGUGCAUGAAGCUGGAACUGCGGCAAAAGCCAGCAACGAUAAUAAUCGAUCGGUGUCAGAAGCAACAGAAACAUUUCUAGAUGCAUGGAGCAGCAGGUCAGUGCCAUAAGGAAACGCAGCUCGCCUGCCAGGGUUUUAAAACCCCUAGGGUGCCUGCCAGUAGGGAAACCGUACAUGUGUCCAUGCCACCGAUACAAUCGCGGAUUUAGCAUAAUUAUGCGCUCGCGUGAAUGUGUUGUGUGACUGGCUGGGCAUAUGUACAUGCUCAUACAGUUGCUAAAUGCGAUGCCUGAGGGGCACUGCAAUUACUCCCGCCCUUGCUUGCUUACAGGAUCUCGUAGGUUGAAGCAUGAUAUGCUACAUACGAUGAUUCCCCUGAACCAUCUCAGAUUAUUCAUCACAUACAACUGCUGGGUUAUUUCUACGUACCUGGAUCUGUGGGCGGGGGGAAUAUCAUGGGGCAGGCACUGGGGGGCACAAUAUCCCAAAUAGCCGUAUUUGCAUCACAACCCUUGGAUGAGGUGAUUGCCCAACGUCGCCCAUCAUCAUCCCGGCAGGUUAAGUCCAGGAUGCCAUCCCCGUCACAGUCUGCACUCUGCAGGACUGCGGUGUCGUGGAUGCACCACCCGGAUGGCCUGGUGCAUGAAGCUGCGGCAAAAAAAAACAGCAACGAUAAUAAUUGAUCAAUGCCAGAAGCAGAUAGGGCAGGUGGCCUAGCUAGGAAAGGCCACAUGAAGGGUGGAGGCCAGACCAGCUGGAAAUGAAAGGCCAGGCAGUGUAACUACGAUUUCUGGACGCAUCGAGCAGGUCGGUGCCACAAAGAGACUCAGGGCUUGCUUGCCAGCAGCCGUAGGAUAACCGUACAUGCAUGCAUGCAUGCAUGCCACCAAUACAUUCGGUGAUUGAGCAUAGCUAUGCGCUUGCAUGCAUGUUUUGUGCGAUUGGGCAUAUGUAUACAGUUGCCAAAUGUGAUGCCUGGGGGGCUUCAGGUAAGGUGCACACACUGCUGCAAUUCACUGCUCCGAAGCAAGUGGGGUUGAACAAUGAUAUGCUAUGAUAAUUCCGAGGGGCAAUGCCGGUUCGAGGGAAUUCCCUCGAACCAUCUCAAUUUCAUCGCAACGGCUGGGUUAUUACUACGUACCUGGAUCUGUGGGUGGCGAGAAUAUCUUGGGGCAGGCACUGGGGGGCACAAUAUCCCAAAUAGCCGCAUUUGCAUCACAGCCCGUGGAUGAGGUGAUCGCCCAACGUCGCCCAUCAUCAUCCCGGCAGGUAACAUCCAGGGCGCCAUCCCCGUCACAGUCUGCACUCUGCAGGACUGAGCUGUUGUGGAUGCACCACCCGGAUGGCCUGGUGCAUGAAGCUGGAACUGCGGCAAAAGCCAGCAACGAUAAUAAUCGAUCGGUGUCAGAAGCAACAGAAACAUUUCUAGAUGCAUGGAGCAGCAGGUCGGUGCCAUAAGGAAACGCAGCUCGCCUGCCAGGGUUUUAAAACCCCUAGGGCGCCUGCCAGUAGGACAAGUUGGGUGUCGGCUUCAAGGAAGCCGGAAAAAGGGCGGGGCCCCUCUGCAUCCGUACAGGCCGGUAGCAAAGGUGGCAAGUGUGACAAUUGAUGGGUAGUGUCAACGCGGUGGGAGAUGUGCUUUGUUGCAGCAGUGCUGAUGGUGUGAGAGCUAAGCUUGCACCGGCGAAAUCGUCAGCACCGCCUGAGGGCUCCACGCGAAUCGCAUCCAUUCCGGGUGCAUGCCGCAUGGACAGUGCGGCAGACCGCAAGUCGGAAUGCCCGUGCGGGCAAAUGGUAACGAAAGCUGGGUGAAUUUCGGUGCUGUCUGUGAUGUUUAUCCCCGAAGCGCCAGCGGCCUCAGCAAUCCGCCCCACAGCCGCGGGCUUCAUCGGGGCACACCGCAAGUCUCAGGAGGCCCCGUGCAUUGGCCAAAGUAAAUGUACAAACAAGCAGCUUGUGUAUUUCAUAGAGAAAUGAAAGUAAAUUAUGUUGGCCUGCUGGUGGCAAGUCGGAUUGCCCAUGCCGGCAAAUGGUAACACAAGCUGGGUGUUCGAGUUAUCAUACGCUGUCAUCUCGGAAAUCAAUUAUGAGAUACACGGCACCUUUUGAGAUGAAAUAUAGCCCGAGAGGUGUUGAUGUGACUUUUGAGGUCGGUGAAUGGAGGCAGCUAAACUUGUUUGUGCUCAUACGGUCUUUGUUAGCUACAUGCGAGAUACCUUGCAAUAGAGAAUGCUGUAUAGUACCGAUAACGCGUUUCAGCCGGGCGAGAUAUUAUGUUUGGUCCGUUACAGACACACACACACACACACACACACACACACACACACACACACACACACACGGACAUGGGCAAUCCUACAGGUCGGGGCCCCCCUGGGCGCUUCGCGCUGGGGCCCCGCCCAAAAACCGUACAUGUGUCUAUGCCACCGAUACAAUCGCGGAUUUAGCAUAAUUAUGCGCUCGCGUGAAUGUGUUGUGUGACUGGCUGGGCAUAUGUACAUGCUCAUACAGUUGCUAAAUGCGAUGCCUGAGGGGCACUGCAAUUACUCCCGCCCUUGCUUGCUUACAGGAUCUCGUAGGUUGAAGCAUGAUAUGCUACAUACGAUGAUUCCCCUGAACCAUCUCAGAUUAUUCAUCACAUACAACUGCUGGGUUAUUUCUACGUACCUGGAUCUGUGGGCGGGGGGAAUAUCAUGGGGCAGGCACUGGGGGGCACAAUAUCCCAAAUAGCCGUAUUUGCAUCACAACCCUUGGAUGAGGUGAUUGCCCAACGUCGCCCAUCAUCAUCCCGGCAGGUUAAGUCCAGGAUGCCAUCCCCGUCACAGUCUGCACUCUGCAGGACUGCGGUGUCAUGGAUGCACCACCCGGAUGGCCUGGUGCAUGAAGCUGCGGCAAAAAAAACAGCAACGAUAAUAAUUGAUCAAUGCCAGAAGCAGAUAGGGCAGGUGGCCUAGCUAGGAAAGGCCACAUGAAGGGUGGAGGCCAGACCAGCUGGAAAUGAAAGGCCAGGCAGUGUAACUACGAUUUCUAGACGCAUUGAGCAGGUCGGUGCCACAAAGAGACUCAGGGCUUGCUUGCCAGCAGCCGUAGGAUAACCGUACAUGCAUGCAUGCAUGCAUGCAUGCAUGCCACCAAUACAUUCGGUGAUUGAGCAUAGCUAUGCGCUUGCAUGCAUGUUUUGUGCGAUUGGGCAUAUGUAUACAGUUGCCAAAUGUGAUGCCUGGGGGGCUUCAGGUAAGGUGCACACACUGCUGCAAUUCACUGCUCCGAAGCAAGUGGGGUUGAACAAUGAUAUGCUAUGAUAAUUCCGAGGGGCAAUGCCGGUUCGAGGGAAUUCCCUCGAAUCAUCUCAAUUUCAUCGCAACGGCUGGGUUAUUACUACGUACCUGGAUCUGUGGGUGGCGAGAAUAUCUUGGGGCAGGCACUGGGGGGCACAAUAUCCCAAAUAGCCGCAUUUGCAUCACAGCCCGUGGAUGAGGUGAUCGCCCAACGUCGCCCAUCAUCAUCCCGGCAGGUAACAUCCAGGGCGCCAUCCCCGUCACAGUCUGCACUCUGCAGGACUGAGCUGUUGUGGAUGCACCACCCGGAUGGCCUGGUGCAUGAAGCUGGAACUGCGGCAAAAGCCAGCAACGAUAAUAAUCGAUCGGUGUCAGAAGCAACAGAAACAUUUCUAGAUGAAUGGAGCAGCAGGUCGGUGCCAUAAGGAAACGCAGCUCGCCUGCCAGGGUUUUAAAACCCCUAGGGCGCCUGCCAGUAGGAAAACCGUACAUGUGUCCAUGCCACCGAUACAAUCGCUGAUUUAGCAUAAUUAUGCGCUCGCGUGAAUGUGUUGUGUGACUGGCUGGGCAUAUGUACAUGCUCAUACAGUUGCUAAAUGCGAUGCCUGAGGGGCACUGCAAUUACUCCCGCCCUUGCUUGCUUACAGGAUCUCGUAGGUUGAAGCAUGAUAUGCUACAUACGAUGAUUCCCCUGAACCAUCUCAGAUUAUUCAUCACAUACAACUGCUGGGUUAUUUCUACGUACCUGGAUCUGUGGGGGGGGGGAAUAUCAUGGGGCAGGCACUGGGGGGCACAAUAUCCCAAAUAGCCGUAUUUGCAUCACAACCCUUGGAUGAGGUGAUUGCCCAACGUCGCCCAUCAUCAUCCCGGCAGGUUAAGUCCAGGAUGCCAUCCCCGUCACAGUCUGCACUCUGCAGGACUGCGGUGUCGUGGAUGCACCACCCGGAUGGCCUGGUGCAUGAAGCUGCGGCAAAAAAAACAGCAACGAUAAUAAUUGAUCAAUGCCAGAAGCAGAUCGGGCAGGUGGCCUAGCUAGGAAAGGCCACAUGAAGGGUGGAGGCCAGACCAGCUGGAAAUGAAAGGCCAGGCAGUGUAACUACGAUUUCUAGAUGCAUCGAGCAGGUCGGUGCCACAAAGAGACUCAGGGCUUGCUUGCCAGCAGCCGUAGGAUAACCGUACAUGCAUGCAUGCAUGCAUGCAUGCCACCAAUACAUUCGGUGAUUGAGCAUAGCUAUGCGCUUGCAUGAAUGUUUUGUGCGAUUGGGCAUAUGUAUACAGUUGCCAAAUGUGAUGCCUGAGGGGCUUCAGGUAAGUUGCACACACUGCUGCAAUUCACUGCUCCGAAGCAAGUGGGGUUGAACAAUGAUAUGCUAUGAUAAUUCCGAGGGGCAAUGCCGGUUCGAGGGAAUUCCCUCGAACC
rnacentral:lncRNA from 1 species